rnacentral:rRNA from 1 species
GGGGAGUACGGCCGCAAAGGUUAAAACUCAAAUGAAUUGACGGGGGCCCGCACAAGCGGUGGAGCAUGUGGUUUAAUUUGACGCAACGCGAAGAACCUUACCUGGCCUUGACAUGCAGAGAACUUUCCAGAGAUGGAUUGGUGCCUUCGGGAAAUAUGACACAGGUGCUGCAUGGCNGUGGUCANCUCGUGUCGUGAGAUGNUGGGUUAAGUCCCGUAACGAGCGCAACCCCUAUCCNUAGUUGNUAGCAGUUCNNNUGAGANCUNUAGGGAGACUGCNGGUGACAAACCGGAGGAAGGUGGGGAUGACGUCAGGUCAUCAUGGCCCUUACGGCCAGGNNUACACACGUGNUACAAUGGUGCGUACAGAGGGNNGCAAACCCGCGAGGGGGAGCUAAUCUCACAAAACGCAUCGUANUCCGGAUCGGAGUCUGCAACUCGANUCCGUGAAGUCGGAAUCGCUAGUAAUCGNGAAUCAGAAUGUCGCGGUGAAUACGUUCCCGGGCCUUGUACACACCGCCCGUCACACCAUGGGANNCGAGUGCACCAGAAGUGGUUAGUCUCACCUUCCGGGAGGA